ensembl:lncRNA
AAAAUUCAACAUUUUUUUCGAUAAUUAUUGAUCUAGAGAGUCCACAGAAUAUUACAGCAGUGGUUUGGUUCCGAUCGGGCGAAAAACCUAGGACUAGUUCGUAAAAGUAUGUUUUUAACAUAUUUGUGAAUAAUUAAUGAACGAUUUGACUGACAGCAAUGGUUCUUGAGGCAAAGUUGUGGAUUAUGAGGAGAUCUAUCAAAUGAUAUGCAUAUUGUGUGAAUCUGUGUAACACCACGUGAUUACUGAGCCAAAAAACUCGUUAGCGCCAACUAGUGGCCGAUUUCUUUCAAAAUUCUUACAGACCUUUAGGGCCAUGAGUCGAACAUGCCCACUGAGUUUCGUUCCGAUCAACCUCUGUUAACCUUGUUUAAUAGGUGCUUAAAUUUGUUUGGCCAAUGGCGGCCAUGUUUUUUGAGAUAUGCAAAUGUCCUCAUAGACACUUGUGCCCCUUCAGACAAAGACACUGCAUACCAAUUUUCAAGUCGAUCAGACGAAUGGUUGCCUAGUUAUAGCCAUUUAUGGGUUUUUUCUAUUUUAUAGCGCCCCCAAGCGGCAGAGAUGCGCAAUUUUUUUUAUUUGACCAAAGAUUGAGCUUAUAAACAUGUGUACCAAGUUUGGUGUAGAUAUCUCAUUCCAUUCAAGAGUUAUAGCUAAAAUAACAUUUGGCUAACGUUAGCAUAGACGCUUUUUGGUGUACUGUUUCGCACGAAAAUUGAAAUUUCAACUUUUUUUUGAUAAUUAUUGAUAUUCAGUGUACAGAGAAUAUUUCUGCAGUGGUUUGGUUUGGAUCAGGUGAAAAACCUAGGACUAGUUCGCAAAAGUAGGUUUCGGAUAUAACACAAUUUUGCGGAAAAACCGUGCGUCGUAGAGCAAAAAUUUCGGACUCCACUUUUGUUCGGACUGACCCAAGGAUUACAACGAUGUAAAGUUUUUGAGUCUACGUCAAACGGUUUACGACUGAGGGCCAAAAAUGUCUGAAAUUUUAGUUUUUUGCGCUGUAGCGC